GGGGGGAGCACCGUAUCCUGGGCUGUGUUGCCGGCCCCCUGGGUUCAGGGGCCUGCGCUGUUGGAAACCGGCUCCGGGGCUGUGCAGCUCCCU
rfam:Canis lupus familiaris chromosome X, whole genome shotgun sequence.